UACGGGGGGGGCAAGCGUUGUUCGGAAUUACUGGGCGUAAAGGGCUCGUAGGCGGCCAACUAAGUCAGACGUGAAAUCCCCAGGCUCAACCUGGGAACUGCGUCUGAUACUGGAUGGCUUGAGUUUGGGAGAGGAACGCGGAAUUCCAGGUGUAGCGGUGAAAUGCGUAGAUAUCUGGAGGAACACCGGUGGCGAAGGCGGCGUUCUGGACUGUUUCUGACACUGAAAAACGAAAGCCAGGGGAGCAAACGGG
rnacentral:rRNA from 1 species